rnacentral:rRNA from 1 species
GUGGCACCUGUCCAUAUUAUUAAAACGACUCUCGGCAACGGAUAUCUCGGCUCUCGCAUCGAUGAAGAACGUAGCGAAAUGCGAUACUUGGUGUGAAUUGCAGAAUCCCGUGAACCAUCGAGUCUUUGAACGCAAGUUGCGCCCGAAGCCUUCGGGC